GCUAAGGUGUUUCUAAACACCACCAAACCAUAAACAAGAAAAGAUU
rnacentral:ncRNA from 1 species